rnacentral:rRNA from 1 species
UACGGAAGGAGCUAGCGUUGUUCGGAUAUACUGGGCGUAAAGCGCACGUAGGCGGCGCAGCAAGUCAGGGGUGAAAUCCCGGAGCUCAACUCCGGAACUGCCUUUGAAACUGCAGUGCUAGAAUUCUGGAGAGGCGAGUGGAAUUCCGAGUGUAGAGGUGAAAUUCGUAGAUAUUCGGAAGAACACCAGUGGCGGAAGGCGACUCGCUGGCCCGGUACUGACGCUGAGGUGCGAAAGCGUGGGGAGCAAACAGG